GAAAUCAAAAUAUCUCCAAGGUCU
rnacentral:siRNA from 1 species